AACGAACGCUGGCGGCAGGCCUAACACAUGCAAGUCGAACGAUGAAGCCGGAGCUUGCUCUGGUGAAUUAGUGGCGAACGGGUGAGUAACACGUGAGUAACCUGCCCUUGACUCUGGGAUAACUGCGGGAAACUGUAGCUAAUACCGGAUACGACCCUCGGAGGCAUCUCCUGGGGGUGGAAAGAAUUUCGGUCAAGGAUGGACUCGCGGCCUAUCAGCUAGUUGGUGAGGUAAAGGCUCACCAAGGCGACGACGGGUAGCCGGCCUGAGAGGGUGACCGGCCACACUGGGACUGAGACACGGCCCAGACUCCUACGGGAGGCAGCAGUGGGGAAUAUUGCACAAUGGGCGCAAGCCUGAUGCAGCAACGCCGCGUGAGGGAUGACGGCCUUCGGGUUGUAAACCUCUUUUAGCAGGGAAGAAGCGAAAGUGACGGUACCUGCAGAAAAAGCACCGGCUAACUACGUGCCAGCCGCCGCCGUAAUAC
rnacentral:rRNA from 1 species